GAUGAACGCUGGCGGCGUGCUUAAUACAUGCAAGUCGAGCGAACAGACGAGGAGCUUGCGCCUCUGACGUUAGCGGCAGGCGGGUGAGUAACACGAGUAUAACCCACCUAUAAGACUGAGAUAAUUUCGGGAAACCGGAGAUUAUACCGGAUAAGAUAUUGAACCGCAUGGGGCAAUAGUGAAAUACGGCUUUGCUGGCACGUAUCGAUGGAUCCGGGCCGCUUUGGCUAGUUGGUAAGGUAACGGCUUAUGAAGGCAACGAUGCGUAGCCGACCUGAGAGACGGGUCGGCCACCCUGGAACUGAGCCGGCGUCCAGACUCCUACGGGAGGCAGCAGUCGGCAAUGUUCCGCAAUGGGCGGAAGUCUUGCGGAGCAAGCCCGCGUGAGUGAUGAAAGUCUUCGGAUCGUGAUACCCUGUUAUUGGGGAAAAACCGAUGUGUAAGUAACUAUAGACGUCUUGACGGUACCUAGUCAGAAAGCCCCGGCUAACUACGUG
rnacentral:rRNA from 1 species